rnacentral:rRNA from 1 species
CGUCAAGUCCUCAUGGCCUUAUGCCCAGGGCUACACACGUGCUACAAUAGGGGCGGUACAAAGAGAAGCAACCUCGCGAGGGUGAGCAAAUCUCAAAAAGCCGUUCUCAGUUCGGAUUGAAGUCUGCAACUCGACUUCAUGAAGUCGGAAUCGCUAGUAAUCGCGGAUCAGCAUGCCGCGGUGAAUACGUUCCCGGGCCUU